rnacentral:rRNA from 1 species
AGAGUUUGAUCCUGGCUCAGGACGAACGCUGGCGGCGUGCUUAACACAUGCAAGUCGAACGAUGAACCUGGAGCUUGCUCUAGGGAAUUAGUGGCGAACGGGUGAGUAACACGUGAGUAACCUGCCCUUGACUCUGGGAUAACCUCCGGAAACGGAAGCUAAUACCGGAUACGACGUACGGAGGCAUCUCCUGUACGUGGAAAGAACUUCGGUCAAGGAUGGACUCGCGGCCUAUCAGGUAGUUGGUGAGGUAACGGCCCACCAAGCCUACGACGGGUAGCCGGCCUGAGAGGGUGACCGGCCACACUGGGACUGAGACACGGCCCAGACUCCUACGGGAGGCAGCAGUGGGGAAUAUUGCACAAUGGGCGCAAGCCUGAUGCAGCAACGCCGCGUGAGGGAUGACGGCCUUCGGGUUGUAAACCUCUUUUAGUUAGGGAAGAAGCGAAAG